rnacentral:lncRNA from 1 species
UUAAAAGCAUAAAGAGAAUCCAUAAAUAUCUUUGAGGAUACUGGGACCCGAAAAGAUAAUAAAUAGAGCAACCACGAGUGACUUCAGAGUGCAGUUACCACUAUUAGCCACCAGAUGGCAGAGAUACUCAGGGAAGCGCGGCAUGGAGGCUACAGCUGAAAAGCAGCAUGAAUCUUGAUCUCUCAAUCUGGCACCAGGCCUCCUGAGCUCUGCUUAUGCCUCAAAGAUCCUGGCACGUGUUAAUCCCUGUAUUUGAAAUCUGUAUCAAUUAGUUCUCUAGGGAAAGAGAACCAAUAUGAUGUAUAUGGAGAGAGAUUUAUUUUGA